rnacentral:lncRNA from 1 species
AGAGACACGUCUUUCCAAAAAGCAUUUCAAGAACCGCUAUACUUCACCCCAAAAUAUUGAAGUAGACAGCGACAGUGAAUCCGACAUCAACCCAGAGGAGGAACAAGAAGAGCAGGAAGAAGAAGAGGUUACUGCUGCGGAUGACCUGUCAAUGCUUGACCGAUUACGUCAAGGUCGCCUUCCACAUGUUGAUGCCACUGAACCCUAUGAGCCCGUCAUUGAUUAUAGUGAUGAUGAUGAUUAUGCAUUUAUUGAUGAUAGUGAUCGAGAUUAUUAGUAGUGUCAGGUAUAUAAUUUUUUUAUGUUGUACUUGAUGAUGAUACACUUAAGUGAUAUACAUAUUAUUAUUCAUGUCGGUAUUUUUUUUAUGUUGUACUAAUUUCGUUUACUCUUUGUCAUGGCAGGUGUUGAAAGAUGGUGGGCGCUGGUAAGUUUCUUCUAGUGUUUUGCUUAACAAAUGCAUAAAGACCUAGACUUAGCCUUAUUUCCUCCAAUAUGCUUACCACAAUGACCUAGAGUUAGCUUCUUUUCCUCCAAAAUGACUUAAUAAGCUUACUGACCUCCAAAACCAUCCAUUUUACCUAAGUUAGCUCUAAAACGAUCUAUACUUAGCUUUGUUUCCUCCAAAAUGACCUAAGUUAGCUAUAGUAUGCUUAGUUAACUAGGUUUGCUCAAUAAUGACAUGUACUUAGCUUACUUAUGUCAAAAAUGGCAUAAUUAGCUUACUUAGCUCAUAAACAAUCCAUUUUACCUAAGUUAGUUCUAAAAUGACCCAUUAUACCUUAGUUAGCUCAUAAAUGAUCCAUUUUACCCAAGUUAGCUCUAAAAUGACCCAUUUUACCUAGACUAACUCCAAAAUGAUCCAUUUUACCUAUGUUAGCUCUAAAAUGACCCAUUUUACCUAGGUUAGCUCCAAAAUGACCCAUCUUACCUAGGUUAGCUCCAAAAUGAUGCAUUUUACCCAAGUUAGCUCUAAAAUGACCCAUUUUACCUAGAUUAGCUCAUAAACGAUCCAUUUCACCUAGGUUAGCUCACAAACGAUCCAUUUUACCUAGUUUAGCUCCAAAAUGACCCAUCACACCUAGGUUAGCUCUAAAAUGAUGUAUUUUACCAAAAUUAGCUCAUAAACGAUCUAUUUCACCUAGGUUAGCUCAUAAAUGAUCCAUUUCGCCUACUUAGCUCAAAAACGAUCCAUUUCACCUAGGUUAGCUCCAAAAUGACCCAUCUUACCUAGGUUAGCUCUAAAAUGAUGCAUUAUACCUAAGUUAGCUCAUAAACGAUCUAUUUCACCUAGGUUAGCUCAUAAACAAUCCAUUUCAACUAAGUUAGCUCAUAAAUGAUCCAUUUCACCUAAGUUAACUCAUAAAUGGCAUAUACUUCUUCUUCUAGUCACCUUUUUCUAACUUUCUUAUUUGCCUUUUUGCAGAUUUCAUUCACUUCACGGAAGCUAGCUUGCUAUGAUGGAGUGCUUGUUUUUUCUUUCAUUCUCCUCUAGUAUUCUUCUAGCUUGCUAUGAUGGAACUUGCUAUCUUGAUGAAACUUUGCAUUGUAAUAUGUAUGGAUGGAACAAUGUGUAUGUGCAACUUGCUAUGUAUGAAUGGAUGGAACUAUAUAUGUAUGCACGAUGAAACUUAUGUGCUGGAUAUGUCAUAUGUUUGCUGUUAAAUAGCCCUGUGAAAUAUAUAUAUAUAUAUAUAUGUGUCAUAUAUUUGCUAUGAAAAUUGCUGGAUUUAAAAAAACAGAAAAAAGAGGCACCUUUGCCGUCAGCCGCUGAUGGCAAAGGCACCUUUGCCUACAGUGGCAGACGGCAAAGACUUGUCCCGCAGUGACGUCCAGCUGACAUCAUUCGGCGGAUGACAAAGGUCGGAUGCUCUUUGCCGUCAGCGGCGGACGGCAAAGGCUGCCGUUAGCCGCCUAACGGACUAACAACACAUUUAUUACCGUCGGGUUUCUUUGCCGUCCGCUGCUGAUGGCAAAGGCCCCUUUACCGUCCGCUUCAGAAAGCAGACGGCAAAGAAGCUCUUUACCGUAGCCUACUUUGCCGGAGCCUUUUGCCGUGCGCGGCAGACGGCAAAGGCCUUUGCCGUCCGCCAUCCUUGCCUUUGCCGUCUGUCGUGGCAGACGGAAAAGUAGCUGAUUCCUGUAGUGGUAAGAAGCGAAGAGAUAAGGCAGUGAUGACCGUUGAAGGAUCGGGUAUGCCUAGUACCGGCAAGAAGGCCAAAGCUGAGGCCCCCGGUAAGGAAGCUGCCGUGUACACUGACUGCCGGGAAGGUGCUGCUGCCGAGAAAGCCGGGAAAGGUGAUGGGUCGUAUUGCAAGAUUCAUCGGACCAAGGGCCACGACCUUCAAGAGUGUUAUCAGGUUGAGCAGCUUGUCAAGAAACAGAAAGCAGAGUAUGAGAAGUGUGAUAAGGAAAAAAGGUCAGAAUGUUGCUGGCGUUAAGGCCGAGGUGGUGAAGUAGGAAGCCUGUGAUGAUGAGAGUGAUGGAAGGAAUGAAGAGGAAACCAGUGAGCAAGAGUUUCAGAAGGCCACGGACGCCUUGUUCGUCGACGGAGGUGCAUCUCUGCACACUUCUCACUGCCAGCACAAGCGGUGGGCGCGAGAAGUCAAUGCCGUGGAACUAGCGCCAGAGGCCCGGAAGCCGCUUGAAUGGUCCCGUAUGCCCAUCAUCUUUGACAAAGAGGACCAUCCUAGCCGUACCACUGCGGUAGGAUGUUUGCCAUUGUUGGUCUCUCCAACAAUCCGCAACCUCAAGGUCACAAAGAUGCUGGUGGACGGUGGGGCCGGGUUGAAUCUGAUUUCCCCGGGAGUUAUCAGCAAACUUCAGAUAGGAGAAGAAGAGCUAGAGGUUACCGACACGUUUCAAGGAGUUAAUCCCGGCAGGAGCCGUCCUAAGGGGAAGAUCACGUUGCCGGCAACGUUUGGGGGAGAACUGAACUACCAGACUAAGAGGAUUAUGUUUGAUGUGGUCGAUCUCCCCCUGCCGUACAAUGUGAUUCUUGGAUGCCCGGCCCUGGCUAAGUUCAUGGUAGCAUCCCACUAUGCCUACAACGCCUUGAAGAUGCUUGGGCCACUAGGAGUCAUCACUAUCCCAUCAAAUGAGAAGGAUGCAAUCAUUUGUGUGGACAAGAUGUACCGGGACGCGGUCGCAGGAGAGGCAGCGGCAGCUCCCGCCAAGGGAAGUAAAGGAAACAAGAGAGAUCAUAGAGACUCCGGCAAAGAGUCCAGGAAGCGUGCCCCCACCGAGUGCACGGUACCCAUUGACGACGUGCUGGAGUGUUCUAGCAGCAAGAGAUCCAAGGUCGCUGCACCCCAAGUGAAGAAGGUCCCGGCAGGGCUGGCUGGCAUUGAUGGUACUUUUACUAUCAGCGCCCACCCUCGAUGACAAAUAGGAAUAUUGAUGUGUUUGCCUGGCAACCAUUUGAUAUCCCCGGUGUUCCCAGGGAGGUAAUCGAGCACAACCUUGCUGUCUGCCCACAUGCCUGACCUGUCAAGCAGAAAGUCCGGAAGCAGGCCUUGGAGAGGCAGCAGUUUAUUGCGGAAGAGAUCAAGAAACUUGAGGCAGCUGGUUUGCUCAGAUGAGUGUUGCAUCCCACGUGGUUGGCAAAUCCAGUGGUAUUUCGGCAGGCUAAUGGGAAAUGGAGGCUUUGCAUAGAUUUUACAGACCUCAACAAGGCUUGCCCAAAGGACCCAUUUCCCUUGUCGCGUAUCGACCAGAUUGUGGAUUCCACAUCAGGUUGUGAUUUGCUCUCCUUUCUGGAUGCAUACUCUGGGUAUCACCAAAUCUUCAUGUCAAAGGAAGAUGAAGAGAAGACGUCGUUCAUCACCCCGUGUGGUACGUAUUGCUUUGUCCGUAUGCCAUUCGGAUUAAAGAGUGCCAGGUCCACUUUUGCAAUGGCAAUCCAAAUUGGUUUUGAGCCACAGUUGCACAGAAACAUAGAAGCCUAUGUGGAUGAUAUUGUGGUCAAGACAAAGGAUAAGGCCACCCUUAUUCAAGAUUUGGAGGAGACAUUUUCUAAUCUGUGCAAGACCAAUCUGAAGCUUAACCCGGAGAAGUGUGUGUUUGGUGUUCCCUCUGGCAAGUUGCUUGGGUUCUUUGUAUCCCAUCGCGGGAUUGAAGUCAACCCCGACAAGAUCAAAGCCAUCGAGCAGAUCCAAGCACCAAGGAGAGUUAAGCAUGUGAGGCGCCUGACGGGAUGUGUUGCCAUGCUAAGCAGAUUCAUCUCCAAGUCUGCCGAGCGCGCCCUGCCAUUCUUCAAAAUUUUGAAGAAGGUCGGCCCUAUGAAGUGGACCCCAGAAGCAGAUGCAGCUUUGCAAGAGUUGAAGGCCUACUUGUCCUCUAUGCCUACCUAGGUUGCUCCAAAGCCCCAGGAGCCAUUGUUGCUAUACUUGGCGGCAACCAACCAAGUGGUCAGUGCGGCCUAGGUAGCACAAAGAGAAGUGGAUGAGGCAGAAAGUGAGCAAAAAACGACAGAGCCAGAGAAGGAUCAGAACAGCAAUGAGCACGGCAACGAGAGCAACCCCAAGGACGCGGCAAGGAAGAAAGUGGUGCAAUGUCCAGUGUACUUCGUCAGCUCCUUGUUACAGGGGGCUAGAUCGAGGCACUCUGGCAUGGAGAAGUGGAUCUUUGGUCUCGUUAUGGCCUCAAGGAAACUUCGCCACUACUUCCAAGCCCAUGAGAUCACGGUUGUUACUCGUUUUCUGUUGCAAAGGAUACUCCGAUACCCUGAGGCUACCGGCAGAAUAGUGGAGUGGGCUUUGGAGUUAUCCACCUUUGGUUUGAAGUUUGAGAGUACAUCAACUAUUAAGAACAGGGUGUUGGCAGAGUUUAUUGCAGAAUGGACGCCAACCCCGGAUGAGGAAGUGACCGAGAUAGUUAUCCCCGGCAAGGAAUCGCCCCAAGAAUGGAUUAUGUAUUUUGAUGGUGCUUUUUUCCUACAAGGUGGAGGAGCUGGCGUGCUUCUUGUCGCCCCCUCCAGGGAGCACUUGAAGUAUGUCGUCCAAAUGCAUUUUGCUAGGGAAGAAGCAACCAACAAUACAACUGAGUAUGAAGGGCUUCUUGCUGGCUCAGGAUUGCAGUUGAAUUGGGAAUUAAGAAGCUGAUCAUUCGAGGAGAUUCACAGCUUGUGGUGAGAAAAGUCAACAAGGAUUAUCCCAGUCCAUUGAUGGAGGCAUACGUCGAGGAAGUGAGGAGAUUAGAGGAGCGUUUUGACAGAUUGCAAUCAAAGCACAUACCCCGUGCGAAAAACAGCAUAGCUGAUCAACUGUCAAAGUGUGAUGCGCAGAAGCUUCCUAUGGAACCAGGGACUUUUGUUCUCCAUCUCACUCAGCCCUCCGUAUCCCCAGCAACAAUGGCCCGGAACAAGAGAAAGUUGGACUACGAUAAGCCUCUCCCGGUAGAGCCAUCCACUCCCGGCAGAGACCCAACCAACUCCUCACAGCCUGCCGGACCACCCCCUCUAGCCGGGUCCACAAACACCGCGAACGAGGCUGCUGCUCCUGCAGCAGAGGAGGUGCCGCUAGUCCUCGUUGCCGAGCCCCAGGCUCCAACUUGGGCAAGGCACAUUGUCCGCUUCCUCCAAACCGGAGAGCUUCCGCGUGACCAAGAUGAAGCUGAGAAAGUAGCCCGGAGGGCCAGUAUGUAUCAGUUUGUCGAUGAUACUCUGUACAGAAGGAGGCCCAACGGUAUGAAAUUGAAGUGUGUCUGCCGGGAAGUAGGAAAGGAACUGCUGGCUGAGAUUCACAGAGGAAUAUGCGGCUCCCACAUCGGAUCAAGGGUAUUAGUUGGGAAAGCAUUCCGCCUAGGAUUCUAUUGGCCCACAGCCCUCCAAGAUGCGGUCGAGCUAGUCAGGACAUGUGAUGCCUGCCAGUUCCAUUCCAAGAAAACACAUCUGCCUGCCCAAGCUCUUCAAACAAUCCCUCUAUCAUGGCCAUUUUUGGUCUGGGGGCUCGAUAUCCUCGGCCCCUUUCCCCGAGCAAUCGGGGGCUUUGAAUUCUUGUUCGUUUCCAUCAACAAGUUUACAAAGUGGCCGGAAGUGAUUGCCGUGAGAAAGGUGACUGCUCAGUCAGCUAUCAAAUUCUUGAAAGAAUUGGUGUGCCGUUUUGGAGUUCCGGCAAGGAUCAUCACCGACAACGGCACCCAGUUCACGAGCCACGCCUUCAUGCAAUAUGUUCAUGCCCUCGGAUGCAAGAUCUCGUUCGCCUCUGUGGCACACCCCCGGAGCAAUGGACAAGCUGAGAGGGCGAACGCUGAAGUGCUGCGUGGACUCGAGACUAGAACUUUUGAUACGCUGCAGAAGCACAGCAGGCGGUGGAUCGAGGAGCUGCCGGUAGUUCUCUGGUCCCUCAGAACGACACCAAAUGGAGCUACCGGGCAGACUCGCUUCUCCCUGGUCUAUGGGGCAGAAGCAGUUAUCCCCACGGAACUCAUUUACGGGUCGCCUCGAGUGCUUGCCUACGAUGAAGUAACGCAAGAUUAGCACCGGCAUGAUGACGAUGUGCUACUCGAGGAGAACCGUCUCCGGGCUACUACGCGUGCUGCACGCUACCAGCAAGCCCUGCGUCGCUAUCAUAGUUGCAGGCUUCAUGCCCGGUGUUUUGAGGAAGGUGACCUUGUCCUUAGGCGCGUUCAGUCCACCAAGGGUACACACAAGUUGUCACCAAAGUGGGAAGGCCCUUACUGGGUAGUACGAGUCACCAGACCUGGCGUAGUCCGUCUGGAGACCGAAGAUGGCACUGAGUUGGAAAACUCUUGGAAUAUUGAGCAUCUCCACAAGUUCUACCCAUUUGGUGUCGGCUCUGUGUAAUGAACGUUUACCCAAGGAUUUCAAGGGACCUCGGAAGGUGCCAAAUUACACAGCUGACUUGCAGCCUGGGGCGUGGAUUGAAAGCUAUGCGAUGGCCAUGGAACUGUUAGAGGUUAGUGACGCAGCAAUGGCCAAGUACUUCACUAUGAUGCUGGAUGGAACGGCCCGCACUUGGCUAAAGGGACUACCACCUAAUUCCAUUGGGUCCUGGGCCGAGUUAAAGGCUCGGUUUAUUCAGAACUUCAAGGACACAUGCAAGCAGCCUAUGUCGAUUGUGGAUUUGACUAAUUGCAAGCAAGAGGAAGGUGAGUCUACGACCCAUUGGGUGCGCCGGGUGAAGGAAAUAAUACAUUCAUCUGAUAAGAUGGAUGCCGGCUCAGCAGUCUUAAUGUUGGAGAAAAAUUGCCGUUUUGAACCUCUGAAACAGAAGCUGGGGCGGCUCAAAUGCGACUGCAAUGACAUGGGCCAGCUGAUGGCGGCUCUAGUCAAAUACGCCGACUCUGAUAGUACCAAGGAUCCCGCGUCUGACGAAGAGAAGACGGGGAAGGGAAAGAAGAACGGUAACGCUAAGGGUCUUCAGCAUAACCCGGCGAAUCAAGGAGGUAAUAAUAAACGAAAGGCUGACGGUAGCUUGGAGUUUGUGGCUAAUACACAGGGUAAUAAUCAACGACGUAAGGGGAGGCCACCUCCUCGGUCUGGCGGGUCAGGUCCUACCCUUGAGCAGUUGCUAAAUGAGCCCUGUCCAAGGCACGACACCUGGGAGAAGCCAGCUACUCAUCUAUGGAAAGACUGUACGAUCAUGAAGGCUUUCAAGAAUUCUAACAUGUUCGACGGCCAUCACGGGCCGGGAGGCAGUUCAGGUGGUGGCGGUUUUCAUGGCCCGGGCGGCGGCUCAGGCGGUGGCGGCUUUCAUGGCCAGGGCCCUCAAGGUAAUCAAGGCAGUUAUAAUCAACAAUCCGGCCAAGGAGGUCACCAACAGCAGCAAUCCGGGUAUCAGAGUAACCCGAAGCAGCUGAAUAGUGCGCACUAUCAUGUGUUUACCACCAGUUUAUGCAAACGGGAUCAGAAGCUUCAUAAGAGGGCUGUAAACGCCGUUGAGCCGGUAGUCCCUCGUUAUCUGAGAUGGUCUGAGCAGCCUAUUAUAUGGAGUAGGGAGGAUCACCCUCCCCGGGUUGACAAUCUGGGUCAUUUGGCCUUAGUGGUGGCACCUCAAGUUGGCGGAUACAAAUUCACAAAGGUGCUCAUGGAUGGGGGCAGCAGCAUCAACAUCCUAUAUUAUGAGACCUUUCGUCGCAUGGGAUUGACUGAUAAAUAGCUUAAGACAUCCAACACUGUUUUUCAUGGAGUGGUGCCCGGUAAGUCGGCGUACCCAGUGGGUAAGAUUGAGCUGGAAGUAGCCUUUGGUGAUGAGCAUGAUUCCAGAGCUGAGAAGUUAACCUUUGAGGUAGUCAAAAUCCGUAGCCCAUACCACGCAUUGUUUGGACGGCCGGCUUAUGCAAAGUUCAUGGCGCGGCCGUGUUAUGUUUACCUGCAGCUCAAAAUGCCGGGUCAUAAGGGCACCAUCACAGUGCAUGGGAGUCGAAAGAUAGCCUUGGAAUGUGAAGAAGGCGAUGCUGCUUAUGCUGAAUCUGUUUGCGCAACAGAGGAGUUGAAAUUCUACAAGGACAAUGUUGACCCGGCAGACAUGACAUCUUUGAAAAAGCCAACCACAGAACAUGAGCCGGUGAUGAAAUUUAAGUCGGCUGGUGAAACCAAGCUUGUUGAUUUUGUUCCAGGCGAUUCGUCUAAGCAGUUCAGCAUCAGUGCCAAUUUGGAUCCCAAAUAGGAAAGCGCACUCAUCGAGUUCAUCCGUGAGAACCGGGACAUCUUUGCAUGGAAACCUUCUGACAUGCCGGGUGUACCGAGAGAACUCGCUGAGCACACUCUUAAUAUUGAUCCAAAAUUUAAGCCGGUCAAGCAGUUUCUUCGGCGGUUUAAUGAGGAGAGGCGUAAAGCUAUUGGUUAGGAGGUGGCCCGGCUCUUGGCGGCCGGGUUUAUUGUUGAAGUUUUUCACCCAGAGUGGUUGGCUAACCCAGUACUGGUGCUCAAAAAGAACGGUACCUGGCGUAUGUGUGUGGAUUACAUGGAAUUAAACAAGGCUUGUCCGGUUGAUCCUUUUGCUCUUCCCCUUAUUGAUCAAAUCAUUGAUGCUACGGUGGGCUGCAAGCGUUUAAGCUUUUUGGAUGCUUACUCGGGAUAUCAUCAGAUCAAAAUGGCAGUUAAGGACCAGGAGAAGACGACUUUCAUCACUCCGUUUGGAGCCUUCUGUUAUGUGUCUAUGCCUUUUGGGCUUAAGAGUGCCCAGGCGACUUAUCAGCGAUGUGUGCAGAACUGUCUCCACAAUCAGAUUGGGCACAACGUUCAUGCUUAUGUGGAUGACACUGUGGUGAAGUCCAGAGAGAAGGAUACCUUGAUAGAUGAUCUGAAGGAAACCUUUGAUAAUCUCCGGGUCUACAAGAUGAUGCUUAACCUGGCAAAGUGCGUUUUUGGAGUGCCAGCUGGCAAGCUUUUGGGUUUUCUGGUCUCUAACAGGGGCAUUGAGGCUAACCCGGAGAAGAUUAAGGCAAUCACCUCUUUGGCUAAGCCGACAUGUAUCAAUGACGUUCAGCGUCUAGCGGGCCGUAUUGCUGCUUUAAGCCGGUUCAUAAGCCGGUUAGGUGAGAAGGCCAUACCACUAUACCAGAUGAUGAAGAAGACGAACAACUUCGUCUGGAGUGAUGCUGCUAACGCUGCCUUUGAAGAUUUGAAGAAGCAGUUAUUUGAGCCGUCGGUCCUUGCUGCCCCUAUUGAUAAAGAGCCCUUAUUGUUGUAUGUGGCUGCUAACGCACGUGCCGUCAGCGUGGCCAUUGUGGUGGAGCGCAGGGAGGUUGGCAAGGAGCAUCCGGUUCAAUGGCCGGUUUACUACAUCAGUGAGGUGCUUAUUGAGUCCAAGCAAAGGUAUCCACAUUGGCAGAAACUUGUUAUGGGGUGUUCAUGGCAAGCCGGAAGCUUAAGCAAUACUUCCAGGGUCACCCCAUCACUGUGGUCAGUUCUGCUCCUUUGGGCGAUAUCAUUCAAAACAGAGAAGCCACAGUACGAAUCGCCAAGUGGGCCAUUGAACUUGGGCCUCAUGGUAUAAAGUAUGUACCAUGUACUGCUAUUAAAUCUCAAGCACUGGUGGACUUCAUCAACAAUUGGACAAAGCUGCAGAUGCCUGAAGAAAAGCCGGAUAACACAUAUUGUACUAUUCAUUUUGAUGGAUCCAGACAAUUGGAAGGCUCGGGGGCUGGAGUUGUAUUAGCUUCCCCUCGAGGUGACAGAUUUUGUUAUGUGCUCCGGUUGAUGUUUCCCUGUACUAACAAUGCAGCUGAGUAUGAGACCUUGCUCCAUGGUCUUCGGAUGGCUAAGGAGAUGAACCUAAGCCGGGUAAGAUGCUUUGGCGACUCAGAUUUGGUGGCUCAACAAGUAUCAGGCAAGUGGGAUUCCAAGGAUCCUCUCAUGGCGGCUUAUCGCCGUGAAGUUGAUGCAAUUGCUGGACACUUCAAAGGUUACCAGGUGGAACACAUUGAUCGCAGAAAGAACGAGGCAGCCGAUGCUUUAAGCCGGCUGGGGUCUCAGUGUAAGCCGGUGCCACCUAACACUUUCUUAGAUGUUUUGCAUAAUCCUUUUGUCAAGUUGCCUACAGAGGAAGACUUGGCUGUUCCUGACCCGGAAGCACAACUGGUGGUGGCUCUUCAUGUUAUCCCAGAUUGGACAGUGCCAUAUUUGGCUUACAUGACCCGGGGCGAAUUGCCUGAGGAUGAAACCUUGGCUAGGCAGAUAACCCGGCGGUCUAAGUCAAUGACGAUUGUCAAUGGGGAGUUACAUCAUCGCAGUGUUACUGGGGCGUUUCAACGUUGUGUUUCUCCUGAGGAGGGUCAGGAAAUUCUUUGUGAGAUUCAUGAAGGUGAUUGUGGCCAUCAUGCCGGGUCAAAAUCCCUUGUGGCCAAGGCUUUUCGUCAUGGAUUUUAUUAGCUGAUGGCUCAUGCUAACGCGGAAGAUUUGGUCAGUAAAUGUGACGAUUGUCAGAAGUUCUCACGACGGGCUCAUGUGCCGGCUCAAAAUUUGAGGAUGAUUCGAAUUACUUGGCCGUUCGCAGUCUGGGGGCUUGAUAUGGUUGGGCCUUUCAAAAGGUCCAAAGAUAAAAAGACACACCUUCUGGUGGCGGUUGAUAAGUUCACGAAGUGGGUUGAGGCAGAGCCAGUCAGUAAGUGUGAUGCAGCCACAGCGGUUCAAUUCAUGAAGAAGGUGAUCUUUUGUUUUGGUUUUCCACACAGCAUCAUAACUGACAAUGGUACUAAUCUGUCCAAGGGUGCCAUGGAACAGUUCUGUCAACAUGAGCAUAUCCGGCUCGAUGUUUCAUCAGUUGCUCACUCUCAAUCCAAUGGUCAAGCUAAAACAGCCAAUCAAGAGAUCUUGAAAGGCAUAAAACCCUGGCUCAUGGUCCAUUUACAGCGGACACUGGGUUGUUGGGUGGAGGAGUUGCCUUCUGUGAUCUGGAGCAUCAAUACUACACCUAACAGAUCUAUGGGUUAUACGCCUUUCUUCACGGUUUACGGAGCAGAGGCGGUUCUACCUAGUGACAUCCGUCAUGACUCGCCCCGAGUGGCGGCUUAUGUUGAAGCUGAUAAUGAACAAGCUCGUGGGAUGCACUUGACCUAUUGGAUGAGAAGCAUGACUUAGCAGCUGCCCACUCGGCGAUUUACCAGCAGGACCUGCGCCGUUAUCACAGCCGCCGGGUUAAGUCCAGAACCUUUCAAGAAGGUGACUUGGUGCUCCGGCUCAUCCAGGAUCAGUCCGAUAUGCACAAGCUAUCCCCACCUUGGGAAGGACCCUUUGUGGUCAGCAAGAACCUGAACAACGGGUCAUACUACCUUAUCGAUGUUCGAGAGCACAAAGACUCACGUAAGUCGGAGAAGGAGACCCGCCGGCCAUGGAACAUUGCUCAUCUUCGGCCUUACUACACUUGAGCCACCGGCUCUCAUGAUGUACAUAUUAUGAAAUGUAUAUAUUAUGAUAAGUAAUAAAGCAGGUCCUCUGUCCUUUUCAUCCUCAAUGAUCAUAUGUUCUUAUUAUUUUAAACAUAAACGACCAGUUGGGGUCUGAUCGUAUUCGAAUCCAGUUUAACUCUCUUGGUCCGGCUCAUGAUCGUAUUCGAAUCUAGCUGUUACACCUCAUGGUCACUAGGGGGCUUCCUGUUCAAACAUAGGUCGUAUUCGAACCAAAGAGAACAUAGCUGUCCAUACCCUUUUGAUCGGCACACUGCCAAACUCACUAGGGGGCUUCUUGAUCGUAUCUGAAUCAUAGCUCAACCCCUUUUGGCUCCGACGUUGAUCGUAUUCGAAUCAGCGUCGUUAAAAAACUCUCAAGGUCAUUUCGGGGCUUCCUGUUCAAACAUAGGUCGUAUUUGAACCAAAGAGAACAUAGCUGUCGGUACCCUCUUGAUCGGCGCACCGCAAAGCCACUGGGGGCUACAUGGUCGUAUUCGAAUCCUAGCUUAACCCAUUUGGAACGGUUUACUGAUCGUAUUCGAAUCAGAAGCCUCAAAAUUUUGUUUAUUUUGAUGUUUUUUGCAAACAGUUUCUUUUUGAGUUUUCUUCUUGAGACUUCUUUUUGAUCCUAUUCGAAGCUUCUAAUGAGUGGCUUCUAUUUAACCCGGCUUGGCCUUAGUCAAUAAGUCGCCAGCAUAUAACAAUAAUCAUAUGCGUGGAAGUACCAGCUUCUACAAGAUUGGGUUCUCACCCUUACUGUUUGGGUCAUAUAAACCGGCAGUAUAAAUCAAAGGAUCACAGGUAUGAUAUUAUGGUUAUAUUUAAAAGCUAUAAAUGAUAACCGAUUUAUCUAUGACUCUUUUGCAUAUUCCGGGUUCUAUGUAAGAUAUAUGACCCGCCCUGCGGUAAACCGCCAAGGGUCUUGUGAUUUAUUUCUGUAUGCAGGACAGUGUAAAAGUUUUCUUACGCAUAAGGAAAACAGAUGAUAAGCAUAAUAUGGAUGAAUAUAAGAUGGCGGCUUAACAAUAUUGAGCACCAAACACGUGCACGAAGGCACGGCAAAACCACGUUAUGUCUACUCUAUUACAUGACUCCCCGAGUCCAAAUGAUUAACAUUGUUUUCCAGCAAAGCAUAAAUAUGAGCCGCCCGACGGAUCAAUUGCGUGGUUGGCCUGAAGCUUCCGGAUCAUCCCUUUCCACUCCUCCUUCAUGUUCCCUGUCCUGGAAGGUUGAUGAUGACCAGCCAAUGCCAUUCAAAGCUUCGAAUUUAGCUUCAUCAUCAAUUAAUCCGGCCGGGUCAACUUCAGGGGCAAAGGUAUGCUUACGAAUUGGAGGGAUCAGGCUGACCACUUCAUAAUGCGGCGUUGGAAUCCUCCGGUUUUCAGCAUCAUAGCCCGGAUGAUACUUGGUAAGAUCUGUGUCAUUAGCAAUCAAGGUGGCCACAGGGCGUAUUUCCUUAACACAAGUGGUGAAGUCCUCCUGUCCAAACGGUGUGCCGUCCUCUUUUAGGCUUGGAUACCCGAUGGCGAUGUCGGCCGGGUCUAGCUCCGGUAGCCACGCCUUGGCCCGGCUUAAUGUAGUUACGGCUCCGGCUCUCGCAGAAGAUCGCCUUAGUUCAUUAAACCGCUGAGGUAGCACAGCAAGCCGCUUUAAUACAUCUGACAGGAGGGUGGGAACUUCAUUUGAUAGGGCCACUGCGGCUAAGGCACGCUGAGACCCGGUGUAGAGUUGCUCCACCAGCGUAUAAACCGCCUUUAGCUUUAUCAGCAUGCUCUGGUUAAGAUUUGAGCUCCUGGGGCCUGCAUUAUAAUGUCAGGUGAGUGGAUGACAAUUGAUAUGCUUCUUAGAAAGAUUCACGUAUCUAAACACUUGCAGGGUGACUUACCAAAGAUUGCUGAGACCAUCUAAGAUAUAUGGCGUUUUAUACCGGAUAAUUCGGCGGUCGCUUUUGCAAGAGCCGCCUCUACCUUUUCAGCCCGGUUGAUCAAGGCGAUCUUUUCAUCAGCCCAGGCCUUUUUCUCCACUUCAAAGCCCUUUUUCAGUUUUUCUUGUUCAGAUACACUUAACUCGAAUUUAGAGUUGGCUUUCUGGGUCUCAAUCUCCUGUGCUUCCAGGCGAUUCUUCAAGUCAGAAAUUUCUGAUUCAAAUUGACUAGUGGUGGCCUUUACAAAUAUUGGGUCAAAAGGUCAGGAUUAUCAUGCUGUAAUAUUAAGUCCCGAGUCUUUUGCAAGCAAUAACACUUGGCACUUGGGGGCUAAUGUAUUCUGAAGAAUUAGUUUAAAGAGGCGGUUCAUGACAGUAAGUCCCAAUCGCUUUGCAAGCAAGAGUAUUUGGCACUUGGGGGGCUAAUGCAUAUUGCUGUUAAAGCCUUUUUAAAUAGUUUGUUCUGUGCAACCAUAUGAAGAACCGGUUCAAUCAUACUGAUUAAACCGCCCCUUGGGGACUACGGAGUAAGCCGGAGUUCUUCUGUGUUUUAGUUCAACUAUGUUACUAAUAUUGCUAAGUUUAUUUCUAAAGUCUACAGCAUAUUCAUCAUAAGCAAUAGACUUGGGGGUUGGCACGGUAAGGAUAAAUGAAUAUGGAGAAAAGGUUGUACCUCAAACUUCUGAUACAUUUGCUUCACCAUAUCAUUUCGGUGUCACGACUGUUGUGCACUUGGCUCAUAUAGCCAGAAAAGACUUUGCCAAUGCUCAUGUGAGUAUAAUCAGUGACGUCAAAUUUAACUCGGCGCCAUUCCAGAAGUUCCUCCUUGGCAGAACACUUGGCCAACACGGUUGGUCUCCCCGGUUCAACAAAGCCGGUCUUGGUGAUUUCGAUAUCAGCAUCUUGAGGAUCAUCCGUCCUGGCAGGGCUAGGGAUUUCCGGGUUUUCAGAACCAUCGAUGGCUUGCUCGACAGGCGGGUCAGCAGUGGGCGUUGGUAUAUCAUGAGCUGGCUCAUGUGGCGGCUCAUGAGUGGAGGUUUCAGGGGCGGCCGUUCCAAGUUCCGGCUCACUGAAGAUUGGCUCUUCGUCCGGCUUGUUCUUCUUCGCCCUCUUGCUGGGCUUUGCUUGUCCACUGCAUGAAAUCAAAAGGUCAGUACAAGUGUAGCAAAUUGAAGUGAAUACAAGAUAAGCAGGUUAUCAUUACUUUGGAGCGGUUUUAAAAGCCGGCAAAUUGGAUUGCAUGGAUUCGCCGGGGGAAGGUGAAGUUUCCUGAUAAUUUGAGUCAGAAGAAUUGAGUGGUUGACGAGUGAGACCCGCCAAAGGAUAAAAGGGAUAUAAGUCGGAGGUGACCUCGUUCCGACGCUUUCUUGGUGUAUUGGGCAAGCCGGAGGAGAGUUCCGCAUCUUUGUUGGUCCGGAUCUGCCUCCGGCUCUCAUGAAUCUGUCGCUUGAAAAGAAAUUGAGGAUCUUGGUAAGCUAAAGGAUGUGAAAAUCUUACUUUUCGGGUUACUCUUCGGACUUUCUGUCUUGGCAAAGGCUCAGAGUCGGAGGAAAUGAUAGUUACCUCUUCAACCGCUGCAUGACUCGCUCAUGUAUCCUCCUGAGGAUAAUCAGUGUCAAUAAGAUAGUUAAAAAAGGGCCUAGAGAAUCAAGAGCUACCUCUGAUUCAGAUGUUUCCUCUAGCCGAAGCAUGUCUAAGGCGCUCGGUUUGUUUCCUUUCUUCCUGGCGGCGGCUCUCCUGGCGGCUUUCUUAGCUUUUCUGGCCUUCUUUGCAGCCUCAUGAUCAUAGUUGGCUUUCCAAAACUCGUCAGUGGCCUGUGAAUUUCAACAAGAGUUUUGAGUAAAGGUAAAACCUCAAAGGUGAGAGUAUAAAAUAAAAAUGCUUAAGUUACUAGCUUACCGCUGGAGCCGGGUUAGCUUUGCACAAAGGGCUCAAACAUACUUUGCCACAGUCUGCCAGGCUCUCAUUCAGGAGUGAUUUUGUCCUAUCAUCAAUGACGUCAUCAGGUAAAUCAUCAGGGUUGUGCCGCAGAGGAUCAUUCUUCUGGCAUGUGUAGUCGCACAUCAAACCAGGGCGGCGGCUCAAUGGAAUAACCCGCCAGGCAAGCCAAACCCGGACCAAAUCAAUGCCAUUCAAGCCAUUCCCCAGAAGAGCCUUGACUUUGCUCAUGGUGGGGGCAAGUUUCUGGCGUUCAGCAGCUGACAGCUUUUCUGGUAGAGGAUGAGUAGACUCGAGGCGCAGGGCGCGAAAGCCGGGCAGAGGGUUUUCACCAGCCGGAGAAGUAUCUUGACAAUAGAACCAUGUCUGGUUCCAGUCUUUGGGGUGACUCGGUGGAUCGGCAUACGGAAAAAUGCAGUCUCUCCUUCCCUGGAUUGAGAUCCCACCAAGCUCCAAGCUAGGCCCGUUGGCACGUUCAUUCUGACGGUUCAAAUAAAAUAAUUCCUUGAAGAGCAGCAAGUUAGGUUCUUCUCCAAGGUACACCUCACAGAACACUUGGAAAUUGCAAAUGUUAGAUACGGAGUUGGGACCGAUAUCUUGAGGUCGGAGGUCGAAAAAGUGCAGGACAUCUCUGAAAAACUUUGAGCCGGGUGGAGAAAAGCCCGGUUCAUGUGAUCAGUAAAGAUGAUGACUUCCCCCUCUUUGGGUUGAGGUUUUUCCUCUGUUGGAUCAGGAGCACGAUAGGACAUGACUUCCUUCUUUGGCAGAUAGCCAGUCUUCACAAAAUCGGCAAGGGUGUUUUCUGUGACGAUGGAUUUGACCCAAUUGCAUGUAACGGGUGAUUUGGGCGCUUUCGGCGGCAUUAUAAAGAUGGAAGCCUACGACAAAAUAAAAAUUUCCGGUUCAAAUUUAGGCCGGAGAGAAAUACUUCAAAUCAUAUUCAAGAUGGCGACUUAUAAAAGGGGCCUAAUGGUAUAUGGCUAAUUAUGUCAGAUUAUUUAAGCCGCCAUGAGCAGUUAAGUUAUUUAAGCCACCAUGUGUGGUUGAACUUAGCUAUUGAGCAUUUCAAAUUAAAGCCGGUGGUAUGAGCCGCCAUGGCUAGGUGGAUCUAUCAAGAUACAGGCAUCGACUAAGUGUGCAAAAACAGGUUUCACAGAUUGCAAUUAUUAUUUUGGAUCAACGGAUGCUCAGAAAAGGAAAAAUAUUCUAGACCUAACAAACCAGUACAGAGGAGUUCAUAAGUUCUAAAGAGGCCUUUAUACAAGAAAAGGGGAUCUACUAGCGUCUGAAAUGGAUGCGAAACAACUACCGCGUGAGUUUAGUACUUCUUUUAGAUCAAAAGAGGACGCAAUGGAGAAACCAUGGAGAAUCCGUGAUGAACAGCGAAGAACACACAGGAACUCGCAAACCCUAAUGCGGAUCUGAGGUGCGGGAAGGCAAAGACUUACAGCUGCAGAUCUACUGCGGAGGGUCGUCGCCGUUUUCUGGACUGAUUCAGGUUGAUGCAGUGGCCGAGGUCGACGAAGACGGGGUGCUCUGCGGCGGCGGCGGAGCUCGAGUGGCAGUAGGGUUGCGAAAGGAAGAAGACGAGGAAAGGGGAGAAUGAGGAAAUACCUGGUCAUACCUUUUUAUAAGGGAAGACUGAUAAGUGGGCGCGAAAAACGAGGAGGCCGAAAAAAUGAUUAUCCAACUACAAGGACGCCUCGAUUCUCGGGAUGGUCAUUAAGACAAGGAUCCGUUGAGAUACGUUGGGCGAAAACAUGCAUUAAUGGCAGAUGACAUCAUGGCGGGUCACAACAAAUCCGAAGGAUGACAUCAUGGCGGGUUACAAAAAUUUUAUACAAGAGAAUUGCACAAGGUUUUGCUUAAGUAUUGAAGAUUGACAUCAACCAGUUCAAAUCAAUCUGGGGCCUAAUGUUGGGGAUAUAAUUAUUAGGUAUGACCCGCCCAGGAGGGGCCGGGUUAUACCAACGAAGACUCUCGAAGCCCAAGACCAAGCUUGAAGAUGGCGGUUCAGUUAAGGGCCUGAAGCCCAAGGGCGAUUCAAGGCCCGUAGUAAUAAACCGCCAUAAUGGUAUGACUUGUAUUAUAAGGCAAGAUUAACUAGUCACCGAGCCGGACACUGUUUAUGAGCCGGCCGGGACUCGGUAGGCCGCCGGGCGUCAACCCGUGUAUAUAAGGGCACGACCCAGCGGCGGCUUGGGGCAAGUAACAUCAAAUCGAGAGCUAGGUCAGGCGGAUUCGCUCCCUGGUUAUCGAGACAUACAUAAUCCCACUCAAAGCUGGAUCGUAGGCUUUUACCUUCACCGCAAGGGGCCGAACCAGUAUAAACCUCACGUCCUUUGUCCCGAUUAACCCCUUCUUGCUUCCUAGUUGCAAUGGCUCCACGACUAAGUCCUUUCACUAGGACAUCUGCCGUGACAAUUCCACGACAGUUUUGAUUUAGUAAUAAUACUAAACCAUUUUCGUUGCUUCUAAAAUUAUUUGUGGACGCAAUAUGGACUAACCCAAAGCCCCACAAUAUUUUUCAGAAUGAUUAGAGUUAUAAAGGUGUUUAUUGGAAUUUAUAACUCCAACUCAAUUAUAUUAUGAUUUAAUUCAAAGACCAUAAUGCCUUGGAAAAAUGUGCUACACCUCUCGUAAGGUUGUAACCUUUUUCCAUAAAUAAUGGACUUUUUUAAGGGCAUUUUGGGUUCACUGACAAUGUUUUAUUUUGAUCGUAGUUGAAUUUUAUUUGGUGCUAGGGUUUGAACAUCCCCAUUUCAAAUUCAUUUGAAUUUUACACAUGAUGCAUGCAUGAUUAUGCAACUAUUUACAAUCAAUUUCUAGGGUUGUGACAAUUGAGGUGCUUGCAUGGCAACCUUCUGAUAUCCCCGACGUUCCCAUGGAGGAGAUUGAGUGCCACCUUGACGUCUGCCCUAAUGCGAAAACUAUCAAGAAGAAGGUCAGGAAGCAGGCUUUGGAGCGGUAAGAGUUCAUUGCCCAAGAAAUCAAAAAACUAGAUGCGGCAGGCUUGGUAACAAGAGUGCUACACCCAACUUGGUUGGCAAAUCCCAUGGUCAUUCGCAAGGCAAAUGGGAAGUGGCGGCUUUGUAUUAACUUCAUCGACAUAAACAAAGCAUGCCCAAAGGAACUCUUCCCUUUGCCGCGGGUUGAUCAGAUUGUGGACUCGAUCACCGCUCUCUUUUCUUGAUGCCUACUCUGGUUAUCACCUGAUCUUCAUGGCCAAGGAAGAUGAGGAGAAGAUGGCAUUCAUUACUCCAUGUGGUACGUACUAUUUUGUACACAUGACUUUUGGAUUAAAGAGUGCCGGAGCGACAUUUGGAAGGGCUGUGCAAAUUGGUUUUGGUUCUCAGCUACACAGAAAUGCAGAAGCCUAUAUGGAUGAUAUAGUGGUCAAAACCAAGCACAAGGAUUCACUGAUCCAAGCACAAAAUCAACUUGAAGCUCAACCCUAAGAAGUGUGUGUUUGGCAUUCCGUCCGGAAAGCUUCUCGGGUUCUUUGUAUCUCAGCACGGAGUCGAAGCCAACUCCGACAAGAUCAAGGUGAUUGAGUAGCAGCUCUAAGCAGGUUCAUCUCCAAGUGAGCUGAGUGUGCCUUGCCAUUUUUCAAAAAAUCUUGAAAAAAGGCAUGUCCAAUGCAAUGGACCCCUAAAGCAGAGGCUACGCUCCAAGACUUGAACGAGUACCUCUCCUCUCCACCAGUACUAGUUGCGCCAAUACCACGAGAACUGUCAUGGAUUUGUCACACCAGAUGUCCUAAUGAAAGGACUUAGGUGUGGAGACAUCGCAACUAGGUUAGCUUAAAGGGGUUGAACAGGACAAAGGACACAAGGAGUUUACCCAGGUUCGGCCCCUCUCAAGGAGGUAAAAGCCUACUUCCUGCUUCUAGUUGUAUUGCUAGAGUUUCGAGUAUAAGGGAGCGAAUACACUUGACCUAGUUCUCGAUUGGUUGUUUCUUGAGUUAACCCGCCGCCAGGUCACACCUUUAUAUACACAGGUUAGGACCUGGCAGCUUAUAGAAUCCCAGCCGGCUUACUCAACGUGACCGGCUCGGUUUCUAACAACUCAGGCCUUAUGGAUCAAGUCUUCCUUCGGCGGUUCACAGGCCCGGGUCUUGGGCCUUCAUCCGGCCUGCUUCCAUGAUCUAUCGUCUUCGUGUUUCUUCUUGGGCCUCCCUGGACCUUUUUCGUGAUAAGCCUCCUACGGUAUAACCCGGCCCCUCCUGGGCGGGUCAUACCUCGGGGCUAUAUCGUCAACAUUAGGCCCCAGGUUAUUUGAACUUGUUCAUAUCAAUCUUCACAUCUGGCCUUAUUAGAAAUGCACCCGCGCCGAAUCUUCAAUAGGACAAUGUAGGCCGCCAUGACGUCACAUAAACAGAAUCAUCAUAAAAUCGCCAUGACGUCACCUGAAUUAAUUUUCGCACAAGGCCUAGAAUAUCUCAACAGAUCCUUAUCUUAGUAGACUUUUCGAAAAUCGAGGCGUCCAUGUUGUUAACAUAAUCAUUUUGCUUCCUUGGUUUUCACGCAAGCCCUCCUUUCACUUCCUUAUAAAUAGGGACAGGAGGCCCUUCUUUUUACUUUUUACCCCUGCCCUUGCAUCUUCUUCUUCCUCCUCGCGACUCCGCUGCGACCGAACACCGCCACCGCCGUCCCUCUUCAUCGACAUCAACUCCGGCCGCUGCAUCAACCUGAAUGGACCAGAAAAUUGCGGCGACCCUCCGCUGUUCAUCAGCAUCAGUGAGUACUUGUCUCCGCUCAUACCAAAUCUGCAUUAGGGUUUCGCCGUUCGUCGGUGUUCUUCACCGUUCAUUGAAGUUUCUCUCUAGAACGCUCAGUUUGAUCUGAAAACAGUACUGAUGCUGUGAGGAAAUAGUCUAGCACCAUCUUCAAACUGUAGACAUACCUCCUCUGUCCGAGAUUAAAUCUCAGUUCGCAAAAAAAAUUCCACUGCCGCAGCUUUAGGUUUAAGAAUUAUUUCCAUUUUCCUGACUGCUGUAGAUCCAGAAUCAUAAGCAAGAUUUGUAAAACCUGUUUAUCCAACACUUACUGAAAUUUUACUCCCCUUCAAAUCUGUAGAUAACCGACCCAUCACUGCCAUGGGGGCGGCUUAAUUGAAAUUUUGUAACCCGCCAAAUGCCUACCGGCUUAUUUCCGAACCUUUUAAACCGUCAGUACUCCUUUAAAGCUUUCUACUAUGAAUUUUAACCCGCUAAUAUUUCCUUAGGCCUUCCGUAACAAAAAAUGACUAAAACCGUCACCUCAUGUGAUUGGGUUGCUUCCACUGUGACGAACAAGCUCUGAACGGAUAUGUUCAAGUGGGCGUUUUGUCAGCCAAAGAGGUUAUCCGUUGGCGAGCUCCAGGGGCUGAAACCAGACCCGAACCCAAGGAAGGCGAAGUCAUAGUGUUCCCUGAUCAUAUGAGCCGGGGUUUCUCUCCACCCGACUCAAAGUUCUUUCGUGACGUCCUGAAAUUUUAUCAACUUCAUCCGCAAGAUAUGAGGCCCAAUUCAGUCUCCAACAUUUGCAACUUCCAAGUCUUUUGUGAAGUGUAUCUUCAGGAGGAACCCAUGGUUGAUUUCAUCAGAGAAUUUUAUUAUUUAAACCGCUAAACAGAAAUGACCGAUGGACCCAAUCUUAAACUCGGCAGGAUAUCUAUCCAAACACAAAAAGAUGUUGUCUUUCCUACGGCCACGAUUCCCUGUCAUCCCAAAGACUGGAAUCAGACUUGGUUCCACUGCCAAGACACCUCUCCGGCGAGUGAGAACCCUCUGUCGGGUUUCCAUGACCACCGGCUUAAUCCAAGACAUCCACUUCCGGAUCGAAUCAGCGCCGCUGAACGGGCCAAAUACACAUCCGCCUUUAGCAAAAUAAGAGCCUUAAUGGCCAACGGCUUAAGUCGCGUCGAUUUGGUCCGAUGUUGGGUUGCCUCGAGGGUCAUGCCACUGAGCCUCUGCCCCGGCUUAAUGUGUGAGAACACAGGUAACACCAAAGAUCCACAACGUCACUGCCAAAUUCGUCUAAGUGACAAGGAGAUCAAUGAAAUGACGAAAAUGAUGCUCAAUGAGAGCUUAGCAACUUGCAGCAAGACGGGGCUGAACCCUUGCACUCUCAACCUGACUCCGGCUGUAAGUAUUUCAAGCUUCAUUAUUAUCUUAUUCUUCUCAUAUAUUGUCUUCUCACUAUUACUUGCUUUCCUCAGGCCGAUGAUCCUUUCUAGAAUAAAAAUUUAGGAUAAGCCGGCCAAGAAGGUCAUAACAAAGAAUAAAGCUCCGAAAAAGCCUGCCAAGAAGAAGACAAAUGCAAUUGAUACAUUCACUCUGGACGAUGAGUCGGAGGUAGAACUUGACUCCCUUGGCUCCUUUUUCUACAUCUUAUUGACACUGAUUGCUAUCAGGAUGACGCGGAGGCCAGCCACGCAGAUGGUGAAGAGGUAACUAUCCUUUCCUAUGACUCAGAACCUCUGCCAAGACAGAAAGUUCGACAAGCAAGCCAGAAAGUAAGGUUUUUCUCACCCUUUAGCUUACUUGGAUCCCAACUUUAUUUUGAAGAAACAACAGCAUGAAGCUCGCUGCACGACCCGGAAUAGCAGGUGAGGGAAUCUUUCCUCUGGCUUACCUAACACACUGGUUCCUCAAAAGCGCCGAAAUGAGGUGCCGUAGAACUCAACCUUAUCUUUUCCAAAGGUGGGUCCCGUCAACCGCUUAACCCUUCCGACUCAAAUUAUCAGGGAACCUCUCAUUCCUCUUCUGGCGACUCAACCGGGACUCGGAUUCCCCUCUUCAAAGUCGCUCCUAGGUGAGAACAUUAGAUUUCUUUGCUUUCACACUUUUCCAACUAAUACAUUAACCUUUUUCUUGUGUCUUAUUUUCAGUGGCAUAGCCAAGCCCAGCAAAAAGCUGAAGGUAAACAAGCCGGUCGAAGACCCCAAGGCUGCUGAGCCGGAGACUCAAACCAUCUCUGAAACCUUUCAAAAAACUCCGGUGGCUGCUGCUGAUGACUUACCACCAGAGACUCAUGAGGUCACAGUGGAUCCAAUGUGUGUUGAUCCGCCUGGUACUAAACCGUCAAGUUCCACCAAGCCUGAUGAAGAAGAGGUUGAACAUGUUGUGGUCACCGGGACUGGUUAUACAGAGCCAGGCAACCCCACCAUGUUAUCAAAACACAGUGCUAAGAAAGAAUUCUCAGCUGCUAAAAAAGCAAAUGGAAAAUAGACUUGGAGAGCUAGGAACUGGUACGCGUUGGUGCUAUACAAACGGUUUUUAACCCCUUUCCACGACGGUGUUCGGAACCGUCGCUAAGUGAGGGACGGCGAUAGGGGGGUCCUUCCCACACGACCCAGAAACCGUUGGGGAUAUUCCCUCCUUGCACACACGCUCGGCAAAAUGAGGUCGUGUGCGAACAGCGAGCACUCAAAUACGGAAAUACGUACAGUAGAGCUAAAAAAUACAAUUAUAAAGGCGAAAUUGUUUCCAGUCGCAAGUACAUCCCACACAGUCAGUCCCCGCUAAAUGUUUCCGUUCGUAUGUACAUCCCACACAGUCGCUCCAAGGAAAACGUUUCCGUUCACAGGUACAUCACACAUAAUUUUCCCCGUUAAAUCGUUUGUGAUAACGUUGCCAUUGCACACGAUAUUAACAAUUUUAUCGUUUGCGUUACUGAAUGCAUCACACACGGUGGAUAGAAGAAACUGUGUGGCAAAGGCUAUCCAUCACACACAGUUUUUAUGUGGUAAACGUUUGCGCAAGGUGGCCUAACGCAAACAGUUUUCAAGAGGAUGUCGUGUGUGCAGUGGAGAUUGAUCGCACCCGUAGUGGAUCUUAGAAACGUUUCUGAUCUCCACGUCUAUCACAGACGUUUCUCUUUCGUAAACCGUGUGUAGUGUGAUCCCUAAUUAAUCCCUAAUUUAAAAAUCACAUGUUUUGAAUUUGAAAGUAGGCAAUCACUUAUUUCAUAUCCAACCAUGUUUAUUACAAAUAUAGGUUCAACCAUGAAUGCAUAAUUCGAUGCACAUGUACAUAUACUGAAGAACUACAGAAGCACCAAGUAAAGAAUGAUGAACCACAGUUGUACUAAAGACUGUAAAGAGAGAGGCGAAAGCCAUUCUGGUCGCUGGAGAAGGUGAAGCGGAAUGCCCAUAUUGUGCCCUCCUCCAUGCAUAAUGCACGCACGACUCUAAGCCAACCCCUUGUGAUGGCUGCCCGUCCAUCCUUCAAUGUCUUCAUUACGACUUCUCGAUGCUCAUUGUAGUCUGGAUGAAACACUUUAACCUUCAUUGCGUGUCCACAAUCAUGUACUUUGCGAGGUAAUCUUGAGUGAACUUCUUCAAGAACCACUGCGAACGGAAAAGAUUCAGACAUUGUUGUCUAACAACUCAUUAUGGGCAAUAAAAAGAGAAGGCUGCAGAGUUUGUAGUUACCAUCCUACAGCUCAUUGUUGUGUUGGAUAGAGCAUAAACAAAUAAUUUGCUUUCCACCAUUCGUAUCUUUUUGCUAAUAAUCCUUAUCAGUUUCCUCACUUGAUGCUUGUAAAUGAAUAUCUCAUUGCCCCAUACGCAAAAAGGGUCGGUGUGUGGAUCCUUGCCUAGGGCAUAUGUACCUACAAGCAACAAGUCAAUAUUAGAAGCUAACAAGUGUCCAGGCCUGGAUCUAUAUGCACUACAUUAUGGAACGACAAGGGGAGUACAAGCCGUGGGAUGAAGCUAACCUCGGCGGAAAAUGGUGGCCACUCCCGUUGUUGUCCUGCAUAAGUAGUGGAAAGGCAUGAUAAGUACAGCAACCUUAACAUCAAACAAAUAUAGCAAAUGUAAACAACAUCAUCUCCAAAUGAUAGCUUAAAUGUGUUGGUUUCAGCAUGCUGUUAAAGCAGAUAUAAAAUGGAAGGCAAUGUUACCGACAGCAGGCUUAACAGCCAUCAAAUAUUGCAAUUCAAAUUGGUAUUGUUGAAAAUGAAUAGAACGUAGGUAAUGCUUAAACAUCACACUGGAUAAAUGUGUAAAACUGAAAUAAAGGGCAUGUGUUAACUACACCAGGAAUAAUUGGAACCAAAUAUAGCCGUUCAAACUAGUAUUGAUAUAGUCGAGCAGCACAGCUCCGACUUGCAUAUAAUGGACAACACAUUGUGAAUGAUUGAAAUAAACAAUGCAUAAAUGACCAGUAUAACAACCAGAUAUAGCCAUUGAAAACUGGACAGAGUCUCACUGCAACCAACCUAACAAGCAAAUACAGAUAAAUAGGGCAUAUGCUUGAAAACUAGACAAAUGCUCACUGCAACCAACCUAACAAGCAGAUACAGAUAAACAAGGCAUCUGCUUGAUAACUGGACAAAUGCUAAAAAAAGCAACCUAAUAACCAAAUACAGAUAAACAAGGCAUCUGCUUGAUAACUGGACAAAUGCUCACUGCAACCAAACUAAGAACCAAAUACAUAUAAACAAGGCAUCUGCUCGAUAACUGGAAAAAUGCUCACUCCAACCAAUCUAACAACCAAAUACAGAUAAACAAGGCAUCUACUCACUAUAAACAACCAAAUAUAGCCAUUCGUGAAACUGAAGUGGACAAUUCAUACUUAAACAUCACAUAGCCCUAUUGAACAAUACAUUUUUGCAUAACUAAAAUAGUUAAACACGGCACAGUUAAAGCACCGCACGACAAAUGCUACCACAACAAAGGGUACGGGUUGGCAAGCUAGAAAAGGUAAGAUUUGCUGAUAGAAUGUUGCCUCACAUUUCAUGGACGGGAUCCUUCCAGUUGGAAGAGCAUAGACCCAUGGUGCGCUCUCUGAUGUCACAGAUGGGCUGUUUCACCUUGGAAGAACCUUCGUGGGUGCCCUCCUCAUGGUCGUGGUCGUGGUCGAUGAGAUCUCACUUGGGAAUUGAGGAUCCAAAGCCGCCGCCGUAGAACGUGUCCUUCAGAAAUGACAAAAUGGGCUCGAUGGCGUAUAAAGCUCGCAAAUUUGACCGCUUGGCAGAGGAGAUCAGCGGCAGGGCCGUCGAAGAGGUCGAUGGCGGUUGAACCAGAGGGGUUGGGGAUGGACCACUUAACCUAUGACAUGGCCCGCGUGAAGCCGUCGCUGUGGACAAGCUUGAUGUCGUAGCCAGCUUUCCCGAGAUACAGUAAUACGCUAGCCCGCUGACAUGAAGCCUUCGGCAUGGCAACGUAGUCAACGUCUUCGCUGGCUUCUGCGAUGACGUGUUGCUCCGGGAUCGAUAGGUCGGGGCAAACGGCGGCCACCUAGCCAAUGUCCGCCGGAGAGGCCAUCAUAAACCUCUUCUUGGCCGAAUGCUCGUCGGGCUCCCCGGGAUACGUGGUCGAGCUUAGGCUGCGACAUUCUGGAGCAGGGGAUGUGGAUCUGGCGGGGAGGGACACCGCAGGCCUCAUCUAAAAACUCAGGGGAGUGGGGCGACGGUAUGGGAAUCGUUGGGUAACCUACACUUUAUUAUCUAAGCUAGGAGGAACGGGCAGACUGGCAGGGUUGGCGGCGGCGCCGACGGCGGCCGCGAGCUAGGGUUCGAGGGGGGCAGGUAGGGUACUGUGGAGGGGGGUGUUUGAGGAUACGCCACGGCUACUGAAAAUUUUAGUAAUGGUGGGUGGAGAUGGUGGUGCAUGAGGGAGGGCGACGGUUCAAUGCCUCAGCUACUUCAAUUUUACUAUAAGGUCGAUGCUGGAGGAGUGUGGGCGACGGUUGAAGUACGGUGGCUACUAAAAUUUGGGUAAAGGAAUUGAUGUGGGGGGAGUGCCCAAGAUUGCGCACGGUCCAAUAACAAUAAGCGUGUAUGAUAAUAAGGAAAAGUGGCACGGAACCGCCGAUUUUUGCAACGCUCAAGGCGGGUAGUUUGUUUUUAUAUUUCUAGCCAGCUGGUCUAUCACACACGGUUCGUCCUAAUUUCCAAAUAAACUUACCCGCCUUUAGCUUGCCCAGGUGGUGGUUUUACAGCUCACUUGCAUCUCACACGGUUAAGCCAGUACCUCCACCCUUUGCUCGCGCUUGCGUGGUCAUGGUGAUUUUACAGCGCACUUGUAUCGCACAAGGUUGAGCCAGUACCUCCACCUUUGCUCGUGCUUGCGUAGGCGUGGUGAUGCACAGCGCACUUGUAUCGCACACAGUUAAGAUAUUAUACCCAUGUCCGUUGAGCGUCAUCAGAGUGUUUGCAGCAAAAAAUAAGGUUAGAGAGGGUCACAAGACAGCCAAACCAGCAUGUGGCCCAAAUAUAUAUGAGUGAAAAGGGUGGUCUGUGAUGUUCAAAAUUCCAAUGCACAACUUUGACCGCGUGGGCCCACGGUUGGGUGCGUCGUCGAAGAUCGGUGAGAGGGGCCAGAAGUCAAGAACCACCUGGAAGUGGCCAAAUAUAUGUAGGAAUAUUGGGGAUGUUUAAAACUUUAAAUACACAAUGCAUAACUUUGGUGGCACCUGCCUCGCAAACCCGAAAGCACCCUUGGAUAUAUAUAUAUAUAUAUAUAUAUAUAUAUAUAUAUAUAUAUAUAAUGACAUAAUGUCGUACCUAGCUAGGAUGAUUGGCCAACCACCUCCCACUUCGUGUCAGCGGGGCGGAUGCACGUAAUGAUCGAUACUUUGGUCAUACAUGCAUGUCGCCAUGGCCUACCAUAAGAGGGACCAAUGAAUCUAUCGUUUGGUCAAACGACAGUUGUUGUUGUCGAUAAACUGCUUGGGCCAAUAGAUUGAACCAUCAUAAAAAUCGCACGAGAGGGACCACAAAACCAGCACCUCUUGCAUGCGGCGCAAAAUGAUGUAUGUUGGGAAGGGGUGAUGUGUGUUUUCAAUAUAGAAUAAUGUACAAUUUAGAUGUGGUGCCUACCUCUCGAUACAGACAACAACCAUGAAGGCAAGGUAGUUAAGGACGAGAUACGCAGGGUAUGAUGUAGGUCGAACCCAGCAAUCCGAGCAUGUGGGAGGGAGUCUUGACAACGCAUGAGCUCGAGCUUUGGUUGAGCGACAUGUGACAGUGACCAGCCCUAACACGAACUAGGAGAAAUCCAUUCAUGGCCAACAUGUACCCCUCAUUAUCGGUCAAAGGGAUGAUAUAUAUAUACACUCGGGGAGCCCACAGAUAUGCGUGUCGUCACAAAAAACCGCACAAGGGAGAUGUGGUCGAUCAGAAGACCCCGUAUACACUACAUGCGGCUCAAAAAUAUGUAUGGGUACAAUGGUGUGUGACGUAUUUAAAUCCCAAAUGCACAACUUCGAUGGGCCACCAACUACAUUAUAAACCGAACACCGUACCCGACUCCAAGCCUGGUUCACUACGUACGAUGUCAGUUUCCCAACUUCGAGGCGGCGACAGGGGGGUCGUCCCACGCAUGUGCUCAAAAUUUAUUUGGUCUAGCAUGGGACACAUCUAUAUCUAUACCCCUAUAUAGUGUGCGAAUAACUUUGAAAGUUGGUCAUUGGAUGAAGCCAAUCCGACGGUACAGAGAUGGCAAAUCCGAGCACUACUGGCCAUUGGAUAUCAUCUACACAUUCCACCAGAUUCUGCCACAUGUACAAUCUAGAAGACUCCAUGGUUGAACUUAAGCAUAAUGCACAAACCUCAAAACACAAGCACUUAUCCUUUGUUCUCUAGAAUCUUCCAUAUCUUAAUUGCCCAAACUUUUUUUCUAAAUGGAUUGUCACCUUUUGUUUUUACUUUAUGCUUUAAAAUGCACAAUUCCAUGAAUCUUAAAAUAGAUUUGUUUAUAGAACGAAUUGAUUUUGGAUGACAUGAACUAUAAGAAUUAAACGAACAUCUACAUCAUGCAUAUAUGACUCAAAGCUUACAUGCUAUAGUGUUGGGCCCCCUAAUUGUCGGUAAAGGAUGGUAUAUAUACCUCGGGGAGCCCACAGAUAUGUGCCGCGUCUAUAAGCCGGACAAGGGAGACAUGCUCGAGAAGAACACCCUGCCCCCCUAUACCCUGCAUGCAACCUAAAAAAGGUUUAUAUAAUCGCCAUGACAGGUCAAGUCAAUCAUUCUUUAAUUUUUUAGAGGAAAAAAUAACCCAUAAAAACAUAGUAGGUUUAUAUAAUCGCCAUGACAUGUCAAGUCAAUAUUUCUUUAAUUUUUUAGAGCAAAAAGUAACCCAUAAAAACAUAGUAGGUUUAUAUAAUCACCAUGACAGGUCAAGUCAAUACUUCUUUAAUUUUUUAGAGCAAAAGAUAACCCAUAAAAACAUAGUCUAAAAAUUAGCAAAACAAGGAUCCCAAGGUUUAUAUAAUUGUCAUGAUAGGUCACUAUAGAGAUAUAAUAUAUCUCUAUAAUGACUGUGUCAUGGCAUUUAAAUGAAGCUUAAGAUAUGCAACUUCCCACCGGGUCACCCAUCCUUGGACUACUCCAGCCCGAGCACGCUUAACUUCUGUGUUCUAUUCGACUAGGCUAGCGGAUGGUAAGCCGGCCCUUGCUGAUAAGAAUUGCCUCCUUGCCAUUAAGGCGUUUCACGCUGGUCACCCUAUGGGACCUACUCCCUCAUAUCACACACAUUUGUGCUUUUAGAAACUGUGUGGGAUAUUUACAUGGCCGGUGUGUUGCCGCUAGCCUUCAAUGAGCACUGACACUGGUAGCGGGAAAACGAUGGGAGAAGAGGCAGGAAAACGAUGAGAGGAGUGGCGGGUAGCCUGUUUAGAAAACCUAGUAGAGAAGGAAGCGUGAGCUAGCACAAUGCCUGCGCACAGUGCUUACCCAUGUACUGCAUGUGCUGUCGAAAGAGCUCAGGAUUGUCGUUCGAUCUGGGAGCAUCCAAUGGCGGACACGUAAGAUCCGUGGGGUUUGGGUUCUGGCCAAUCAGAACGCACGACUCAGAUCGCGCGCGCAGCAUGGGGGGAGGGGGGCAUCAGCCACAGUUUGGUAGGCACACAGCUUUCAUGAGUGAACCGUGUGCUAUUUGAAAACAUUUCAUGAGAAGAAUCUUGGUUUUUAAAUCCCCGUAAAUCCAAAACUAACCCGAAAAUCGUGAAACCUGGCAUGGUGUCACAACAUGGCACAUAUAUGUCGAGGAAUUUUUUUCUUCCAUUUUGGCGCAAGUUUUAUUACAAGCCUCUUACAAACCGGAGCUUCUCUCAAAUAAGCCUCGUGGUUCCGAUAGGGAAACGUGUCCCCCUUGUGGGCGAAACGUAAUCACUGCCUCUUUUCGCCUUGUAUUUUCUUCUACGGGCAACAUGGAACGACAGGAUAUCUGUGCUGAAAUUUAAACUUAUCCAGGGUUCGUUUGGCCUUUUUAUACACUAAUUGAGUUUCCUAGGCAUUUAAUGUCCAUGAUUCAAAUCUGAACUUCAAAUACAUGCUCCAGUUCACCAAAAUGGCUAGAAAAUUUAUACAUGUGUCCUUGGGUGCAUGUUUAGGUCCCAUGCCAGGAAUGGGAACGAAUUACAACCAUACCCACGUCCUGGCUCGUCCUCAAACAUUUGGAAUAUCGUUUUUUAAAUCCCCGUAAAUCCUAAACUCACCAGAAAGUCAUCAAAGGUGGCAUGGUGUCACGUCAUGGCACAUAUAUGUCAUGGUAAAAACAUUGUCCAAUUUGGGCCAAGCUUUAUCACAAACCUCUUACAAAUCGGAGCUUCUCUCAAAGAAGCCUCGUGGUUCCGAUAGGGAAACGUGUUCCCCUUGGGGGCGAAACGUAAUCACCGCCUCUUUUUGCCUUGUAUUUUCUUCCACGGGCAACAUGGAAUGACAUGAUAUCCGUGCUGAAAUUUAAACUUAUUCAGGGUUCGUUUGGCCUUUUUAUACACUAAUUGAGUUUCCUAGGCAUUUAAUGUCCAUAAUUCAAAUCUGAACUUCAAAUACAUGCUCCAGUUCACCAAAAUGGCUAGAAAAAUUAUACAUGUGUCCUUGGGUGCAUGUUUAGGUCCCAUGCCAGGAAUGGGAAUGAAUUACAACUGUACCAGUGUCCUGGCUCGUCCUCAAACAUUUUGAAUCUCGGUUUUUAAAUCCCCAUAAAUCCAAAACUCACUAGGAAGUCAUUAAAGGUGGCAUGGUGUCACGUCAUGGCACCAUGUAUAAUUUGGGCGAAGCUAUAUUACAAGCCUCUUACAAACCGGAGCCUGUCGCAACCCUCGUGGUUCCGGUAGGGAAACAUGCCCCUCUUGUGGGCAAAACGAUAAUCGCUGCCUCUUCUUGCCUUGAACUUUGUUUUCUACAGGCAACAUAGAAUAACAGGAGUGUCGGGCUGAAACUUGAAAUUGUUCAGGGUUCGUUUGGCCAUUGUAUAUAUUGCUAAUUACUAAGUUUUCUACGCAUUUAAUGUAGUCCAUAAUUCAAAUUUGAACUACAAGCACAUGCUCCAGCGAAGCAAAAUGGGUGGGAAGUCGUACAUGUGUCAUUGGGUGCAUGUUUAGGUCUCAUUUAAGGAAUGGGAAUGAAUUACAAACUUGUCGUCGUCCUGAAACAUUGAGAAUCUCGGUUUUUAAAUCCCAGUAAAUCAAAAACUCACCCAAAAAACAUGAAACUUGGCAUGGUUUUAUGACAUGGCACAUAUAUGUCAUGGUAAAAAAAUCGUCCAGUUUGAGAAGAGGCGCACACAUUAGUAACCAACGAAGUCCUUUUUGAAACAAAAAGCUGACACGUUAAUAUCGGAAAUGGUUGUAUUAUAUUAACCGUGUCGAAAUUUAACCAUACUCGAUGGCGUGCGAGCAACUGUUUGACUAGACGGGACAAGCGCGAGAAUUCCGCCGUGCAGGCUUGACGGGACGCGUGCAAGCAGUCCGCCGCGCAGGCUCGACGGGACGGGUGCAUCCUAUCCACCUCGCAGGCUCGACGGGACACGUGCGAGCAGCAAGGCCGCCCAUGCUCACCAGGAAGCGAGCUCUUUGACCUCCAUGCACCAGCCGCCGCCCGCCUCGCUCAGAACUCCUCCAUUAAUGGGUUAAUUAAAGCACCUGGACGGAGGGUGUUUGCUUGUGAUCCCAUGGCAGCAUUUGCUUUGUUCGUGUUUUCAACUCGUAUUCUGCCCUAAUUUAAAUUGCCACAUAGGGCAAUGGAUAAUACGAUAACAAAUAAAAUGGCAACGGAUAAUACCACGACAAAUUUACAAUGGCGCAGAUAAUAUUUGUCUUACAUAUUUCGGAUAAUUUAAAACGCCACAUGUGGCAAAGCCCGGAAUACACGGGGGCAAGAGAAGAAGGAAAUUGCAGACAACGAUCUGGGUCGCUACUGUCUCUACUCGUCGAUGGAUCGUCGGGCGACGACAUCCUCCAGCUCCUUCUUCAAUUCCUCACGACUUUGCUCGAAAGCAGCCACGGAUUCCUCCACCUUUUGCUCACGCUCGAUCCGGAGCUUCCUCAAGCCACCCAUCAGUUCCUCGACGACCGCUUUCAGCGUCAUUCCUGAGGCACCGCUAUGCUCAUGCAGCAUCUUCCAGCCGGCGGCCUCCUCCUCCUUCUUGGCGAGCAACUUGAGGAGCUUCGCAUUGUCACCCAUGAGUUUCUCGAUGAGGCCGGUCGCCUUGUCAACCGAGGCAUCGCUGAUCUUGAGCAGCUUCAUCAAGCCGUCGACCAGCUUCAUCAAGCCGUCGACCAGCUCCUGCUGUGUAGUGACGCCAGCGAGAAUGUCGUCAUCACCGGCGAAGGACUUCAGGAACGCCCGCUCGUCGCGAUGGUCGACGCCGCGAAUGCGCUUGUGAGAGCCCUCGCGUGACCGUGAGAGCUCGUUCGAGGGCUUCGCGGCGUGCUGGGACCUCUCUGCUGCGGCUGCGGCUUCGCGGCGGGACCUCUCUAGUACUUCCGCGGCCUUGGUCUUUGCUGCCUGGUAGUCCACCCUAAACUCCUCCUACCGGUCAUGGUGGAACGGCUUGACAGGAAAGACCAGUUUUGUGGGUGAUGAGGAGAGGAACUGUGAAGUAAUUUUCAAGUGGGUAGUUUUUAUAGCCCGGUGCUAAGUGUGAACACAUAUUAGUUUUAUAGGUGUGAAAAGAUUUGCAAUUACUUAUUGCGUUGUAAUCUGCAAUGUGACGAGAAACAAGGUCAAAAUAUAUUGAUGGCAGAAGGUUGACCACAUGGUUCCUCGCCGUUCAGUCGGCUGUUUGCCACGUAUCACACACAUCUUGUUAAGUUGAACUGUUUCUGUUGUGUUCGCUAAUCUAAAAUAGUUCGUCCGAGUGAAUCGUAUGCCCUAUAUCACACACACCUUGAUUUGGCUAACCGUUUCUGUUGCACUCCCUAAUAGCAAACAGUUCAUCGGAGCGAACUGUAUGCCGUAUACCGCACACACAUUGAUACGGCUGCCCGUUUUUGUUGUUCUGCCUCAUCGCAAACAGUUCGAACGGGUUAACCGUGUGCCCUAAAUCACACACGCAACUAAAAUCUGAACCGUGUUUCAUGGCUCUACCAUCGCAAACAUUUUGCACCUUUUUUGACGGUUUUUUACAUCCCCAUUUAUGAUUAAUGCAUCGCACACAGUUUCGUCAAAGGGUAUCUGAUCGUAGUGUCGUGUUCGCAGCAUCCUGCAGUAGUGAGGCCAGCUUCAGCGCCAGCGAAAUUCAUUCGGGCUACUUAAGCCGCCUGCAUACUAGUCGAGACAUGGAAGCCGGCUUAGUCAAUCUGAUGAAAGAGCUUUGAGGUAAACACUGGGACCCUUCUCAUAUCAACAUAUGUGUCAGCCGCCAAGUCUAUAGGAUACGAAAGAAUUUGAGAAUGUUGUAGACUUAAAUGACAGCCUUCUUGCGACCCUUCAAAUUUAUCUUCUCUGCAUUAGAUCCAUUUAAGUAGCCUCCAAGGGCCGGCUUAAACUGAAUAGUUAAGCUGGGACUUAAUAUCAUGUUUGUAAAAAAUCUGAAUAUGUAGCACCCAUGAGCCGGCUUAAUUUGAAAAAUCUAGCCGGGUUAGUAAGGAUUCGUUUUGAAAAAGAAUGACCUAUGUUAGCCCCCAAGUGCCAAGAAGAAUACUUUGUAAUGUACUUGGGACUUCAAUAGAAUGAUUAUCAUGACUCCUGAGUACUGCUUGAUUUAUCCUUGCAGGCUGAGCUAAGCAUGAAAGAGUCUCAGGUGGUCGAUCUGCAGAAGAACAUCACCUUAUAACAAUCAGAAACAUCGAAGGCCAAAUCAGAACUAAAAGCCGCCUUAGAAAUAUCUGAAAAACUGCAGACAGACUUCGACACGCAGAGAGCCAGGUGGGAGACCGAAAAAGCAGCUCUUCUGAAAAGAGCUAAAGAUGUUGAAGCUGCCCUGAAACCGGUGACUGGAGAUUUAUCCCGUUUAAAGCGACAUGUAAAUCAAAUGACAACCGCCAUCUUUGGCAAGUGUUAUUGCAUUGCAAUUUUACACCAGUAACUUUCUUUAACCCGCCUGGCGACUUAUCAUAUGUUAUGCAUGCAGGCCCCAGAAGCUCUAACCUUGGCCAAGACAAGUUGGUGAACCUGAAGGCGGUUUAUACUCUAGUGGAACCGGUGUACACAGGCACGUAGCAACCCUUACCAGCUAUCUCGCAUAAUAAGCAACCACCUUCACUCAUUAAGGAUGUAUUGGACAAGUUAUUUGUCAUGCCCAAGAGGAUUGAAGAGAUCAAGCGAUCCGUAGCUCGAGCCGGCGCCAUCACUGCAUUGAGCCGGGCCAAAGCAUGGCAGGCGGAGCUAGACCCGGAGGAGCUGGCAACUGGCUGUCUGAGCUUGAAAGAGGACGGGUCUCUCUUUGAUGCCAGUGACUUUACCAAAUGUGUAAAGGAAAUGUGCCCUUUGGCAACCAAGCUGGCCGAAGAAGCUGAUUUUUCUAAGUAUCAGCCGGCUUACACCAAGGAGAACGCCAAAGUGAAGGCGUCGGCUUAUGAGAUUGUAGAGCUCAUUCCUCUGAUACGUAAGCACACCUUCGCUCCUGAUGUUGAUCCGUCCAAUCUUAUAGACGAUGAAGACAAAUUCAGAGCUUUAACUGGCAUCGACUGGACAUCAUCUGACUUCUAGACAAUGGAGGGAGUAGAAGAAGAACCAGCACAGCAUGAUAACCCGGAGGCUUCAAUUCGCCAAGAUCAGAACAACUAAUCCAAGGGGCGGUUCUCCAACUGCAGCAUGGUGUUUCCUUUGGAAAAAACUCUUUAAUAAUUUGGGUUGUGGAAAGCCUUGUAAUAGGCUAGUUUAAAACCAUGAUCUGCCAUGCCCUCGUGCAUGUUUAGCCUUGAAACUUCUAAAAUAUGUUUAUAUGCCGCUUGAUGAGCUUUGCAGGAAAUAACGUAUUUGUUUUACAAUUUGCCUGCACACAUAGUAAACAACAUAUACCUUGGCGGUUUACGCUAGGGCGGGUCAUAAUAUCCAAUAUAAUAUGUUCUAGCAACUGUCCCUUUAUAGAACCGUACAUGAGAUUUUCACCUCAUACGGCUCCUC